rnacentral:rRNA from 1 species
GUUUGGAUACAUGGAUAUCAAAGCCGGGGAUCGCAAGACCUGGCGCUUUGAAGAGGGGCCCGCGUCCGAUUAGCUAGUUGGUGGGGUAACGGCUCACCAAGGCUCCGAUCGGUAUCCGGCCUGAGAGGGCGGACGGACACACUGGAACUGAGACACGGUCCAGACUCCUACGGGAGGCAGCAGUGGGGAAUUGUUCGCAAUGGGCGAAAGCCUGACGACGCAACGCCGCGUGGAGGAUGAAGAAUUUCGGUUCGUAAACUCCUUUCGACCGAGAUGAAUAUCCGUCGACCUAACACGUCGGCGGACUGACAGUAUCGAGAGAAGAAGCCCCGGCUAACUCUGUGCCAGCAGCCGCGGUAAUACAGGGGGGGCAAGCGUUGUUCGGAAUUACUGGGCGUAAAGGGUUCGUAUGUGGCCACUUAAGUCAGACGUGAAAUCCCUCAGCUUAACUGGGGAACUGCGUCUGAUACUGC